CUGCUGCCUCCCGUAGGAGUCUGGGCCGUGUCUCAGUCCCAGUGUGGGGGGCCUUCCUCUCAGAACCCCUACGCAUCGUCGCCACGGUGGGCCGUCACCCCGCCGUCUAGCUAAUGCGCCGCAUGCCCAUCCGCCACCGGAUCGCUCCUUUGGCCACCGGAGGAUGCCCUCCGGUGGCGUCACGGGGUAUUAGGCCGCGUUUCCGCGGGUUAUCCCCCUGUGGCGGCCAGGUUGCAUACGUGUUGCUCACCCGUGCGCCGGUCCG
rnacentral:rRNA from 1 species